rnacentral:rRNA from 1 species
AAGAAAGUUUUCGGAUCGUAAAGUUCUGUUGUCAGGAAAAAACGAGUACCGCUCGAAUAGGGCGGAACCUUGACGGUCCCUAUCGUGGAAGCCCCGGCUAACUACGUGCCAUCAGCCGCGGUAAUACGUAGGGAGCAAGCGUUGUCCGGAAUUAUCGGGCGUAUAGCGCGCGCAGGCGGUUUCUUACGUCUGAUGUGAAAUCUUGUGCCUCGGCCACUAGGGGACAUUGGAACCUGGGAAACUUGAGUACAUACAAGGAUAGCGGAAUUCCACGUGUAGCGGUGAAAUGCCACACAUAUG